GCCCCUAACAUAUGAAGGGUUGAUUAUAUAACCGCUCAACUAUUACCUGAUACUGUAAUACUAAAACAUCUAAUAAUGUUCGGAUAACACCCCCUAUGGUCUUGUAUAGGGUCGUUUAGACAUCAUAUUAUACAUCACUAGCCUAAUAAGCAAUCAUGCUUGCACGCAAGUUCUUUCUCUACCUCCCUCUCCCUACUCUUUCUAUGCUUGCACCACAACCCAUAAGCACCACGCUUUCUCCAACUCCACCUCAUGUCACUUCUUGAGGGCAUUGAGCUCAUGCACUACGAUGGCCCCUCCUACAUCCUUGCCCC
rnacentral:lncRNA from 1 species